AUUGAACGCUGGCGGCAGGCCUAACACAUGCAAGUCGAGCGGAUGACGGGAGCUUGCUCCUUGAUUCAGCGGCGGACGGGUGAGUAAUGCCUAGGAAUCUGCCUGGUAGUGGGGGACAACGUUUCGAAAGGAACGCUAAUACCGCAUACGUCCUACGGGAGAAAGCAGGGGACCUUCGGGCCUUGCGCUAUCAGAUGAGCCUAGGUCGGAUUAGCUAGUUGGUGAGGUAAUGGCUCACCAAGGCGACGAUCCGUAACUGGUCUGAGAGGAUGAUCAGUCACACUGGAACGGCGACACGGUCCAGACUCCUACGGGAGGCAGCAGUGGGGAAUAUUGGACAAUGGGCGAAAGCCUGAUCCAGCCAUGCCGCGUGUGUGAAGAAGGUCUUCGGAUUGUAAAGCACUUUAAGUUGGGAGGAAGGGCAGUAAGUUAAUACCUUGCUGUUUUGACGUUACCGACAGAAUAAGCACCGGCUAACUCUGUGCCAGCCGCCGCGGUAA
rnacentral:rRNA from 1 species